rnacentral:rRNA from 1 species
GACGAACGCUGGCGGCGUGCCUAAUACAUGCAAGUCGAGCGGACGAAUCGAAAGCUUGCUUUUGAUUCGUUAGCGGCGGACGGGUGAGUAACACGUGGGCAACCUGCCCUGUAGACGGGGAUAACACCGAGAAAUCGGUGCUAAUACCGGAUAACACGAAAUGUCGCAUGACGUUUCGUUGAAAGACGGCGCAAGCUGUCGCUACAGGAUGGGCCCGCGGCGCAUUAGCUAGUUGGUGAGGUAACGGCUCACCAAGGCGACGAUGCGUAGCCGACCUGAGAGGGUGAUCGGCCACACUGGGACUGAGACACGGCCCAGACUCCUACGGGGGGCAGCAGUAAGGAAUCUUCCGCAAUGGACGAAAGUCUGACGGAGCAACGCCGCGUGAGCGAAGAAGGCCUUCGGGUCGUAAAGCUCUGUUGUUAGGGAAGAACAAGUAACGCAGUAACUGGCGUUACCGUGACGGUACCUAACGAGAAAGCCACGGCUAACUACGUG